GGAGAUGUAGCUCAGUGGUGUAGCACAUGCCCGGCAUGCAUUAAGCCUUAGGUUCAAUUUCUAACACCACAA
rnacentral:tRNA from 1 species